GAUGAAGAACGUAGCGAAAUGCGAUAAGUAAUGUGAAUUGCAGAAUUCAGUGAAUCAUCGAGUUUUUGAACGCAUAUUGCGCCCUCUGGUAUUCCGGGGGGCAUGCCUGUUCGAGCGUCAUUAAAUAACCCUCAAGCAUAGCUUGGUGUUGGGCUUUUUUACGUCCUUGACUGGGAUGGGCCUAAAAAUUAGUGGCGAUGGCUUUUUUACUUUCAAGCGUAGUAAAUCUCGUCUUGCUAAAGAGGAAAAAGACUUUUUUUCUGCCAAAAAUUUUAACAUUUAAAGUUGACCUCGGAUCAGGUAGGAUUACCCGCUGAACUUAAGCAUAUCAAUAAGCGGAGGA
rnacentral:misc_RNA from 1 species